rnacentral:rRNA from 1 species
CAAUAGCGUAUAUUUAAGUUGUUGCAGUUAAAAAGCUCGUAGUUGGAUUUCGGAUGGAGGCGACCGGUCCGCCGUUGCGGUGUGCACUGGACGCUUGUAUCUUGUUGUCGGGGACGCGCUUCUGGCCUUCACUGGCUGGGACGCGGAGUCGGCGCUGUUACUUUGAAAAAAUUAGAGUGUUCAAAGCAGGCAUCCGCUCUGAAUACAUUAGCAUGGAAUAACGCUAUAGGACUCUGGUCCUAUUGUGUUGGUCUUCGGGACCGGAGUAAUGAUUAAGAGGGACAGUUGGGGGCAUUCGUAUUUCAUUGUCAGAGGUGAAAUUCUUGGAUUUAUGAAAGACGAACUUCUGCGAAAGCAUUUGCCAAGGAUGUUUNCAUUAA